CGAUUGUCGAGGACGGGCGUUUCGCCGAGCCGCGGUUUCGCGCCUAUGGGACCAUAGAUGGACGCUCUUACUGUCUGGCCUACACAGUUCGCGGCGAGAUAAUCCGGGUCAUCAGCCUGCGGCGAGCGCAUGCAAAGGAGAGAAAAUAUGCCCCGCAAGAAAAGUAAGCCGGUGAUAUUCGACGAAGACAAUCCGGAAUGGACCGCGGAAGAUUUCGCGCGGGCGACGAAGUUUCCGCCAGGCACGAAACUCGCAGACGCCGCGG
rnacentral:misc_RNA from 1 species